GGGCCCGCACAAGCAGCGGAGCAUGUGGUUUAAUUCGAAGCAACGCGAAGAACCUUACCUGGACUUGACAUCCCCUGCAUAGCCAAGAGAUUGGCGAAGCCCUUCGGGGCAGGGAGACAGGUGGUGCAUGGUUGUCGUCAGCUCGUGUCGUGAGAUGUUAGGUUAAGUCCUGCAACGAGCGCAACCCUUAUCAUUAGUUGCUACCAUUAAGUUGAGCACUCUAGUGAGACUGCCCGGGUUAACCGGGAGGAAGGUGGGGAUGACGUCAAAUCAUCAUGCCCCUUAUGUCCAGGGCUACACACGUGCUACAAUGGUGAGUACAACAAGAUGCAAUCCCGCGAGGGGGAGCCAAACUUAUAAAACUCAUCUCAGUUCGGAUUGUAGGCUGAAACUCGCCUACAUGAAGCUGGAGUUGCUAGUAAUCGCGAAUCAGCAUGUCGCGGUGAAUACGUUCCCGGGCCUU
rnacentral:rRNA from 1 species